rnacentral:lncRNA from 1 species
ACCCAGGCGCAUGGCUCCAUGAAGCAAGAGGAGGAGGCAGAGCGCGAGAGAUCCCGUCCGCCCCAGCCGCGUCUGGGCCAGGAGAAAAGCAAAACCAUAUUCCUGCUGCUGUCAGUUUUGAUGCACUGAGAAAACUUCAGAGACCUAAGCUUUUUCCAGAGAAGAGAAGCUUUACUGGUGUUCCAGCCCUAAGAAACUUAAAUCCUCAGUGUGACACAACUCAGUCCUUCUACUGCAGCAGCUCUUUUAUAAAAGCCUCCCAAAGCUCCAAGAAGGAACAAAGAAUGUGACCCAGUAAGCUCACACCAUAAGUCUAUAUUGCAGAAACCUUUGUUCAACAAAACUGCAGAUGCUCUGUUGAAUCCACUGGAGAUUGUCCUGAUACUAAGGACAAGUAUGCUCAUAUGACAUUAACAGACAAGACACUUUUCAGAAAGACAGAAACUACUCUGAAAAACUCUCUUAAUGCUUUUUACGGCCGGGUGCGGUGGCUGGAGCCUGUAAUCCAAGCACUUUGGGAGGCCGAGGUGGGUGGAUCACCUGAGAUCUGGAGUUCGAGACCAGCCUGGCCAACAAGGUGAAACCCCACCUCUAUUAAAAAUACAAAAAUUAGCUGGGUGUGGUGGCACACACCUGUACUCCCAGCUACUUGAGAGGUUGAGGCAGGAGAAUCGCUUGAACUCGGGAGACGGAGGUUGCAGUGAGCCAAUAUUGCGCCAUUGCACUCCAGCCUGGGCAACAAGAGCGAAAUUCCAUCUCAAAAAAUAAAUAAAUAAAUAAAUAAAUAAAUAAAUAAAUAAAUAAAUAUUAAAAAAA